CCGGUUCCGGAACUUGGCUUGGGGUCGGGACCGUGCUCAGCACAGACAGAACUGAACCCUUCUCGUGGGUCAGAAGCCCCGAGUGCAUGUUCCCUUUGGCUUACUUUAGCUCUGUUUUUCUCGGGUGCUUGCCAGUAAACAGUUCUCCAGACAGACUCCCAGGCAUUUGGUUCUUGAGAAGAAACAUGAGAGAGAAGCACGAUGUGCUGGUGAAGUCGAGCCUCUCAGGUCCCUGCCCUCCCUGGGGUCGAAGAAGGACAGAGAGCAGGCCCUCCGCGGCCUCGGCUUCAGUCCUGUAAGACUCAGGUCUAGGGCUGGACAAAUCGGUGAGCCUCCAGGCCAGAGCAUUCUGAAGCUGAUGCGUGAGAAGACACGAAGAGCUGGAAAAUCCCACUUCGAUGUUUAUAUUCCCACCAAAAAGCAAGCCCAGGGCACCACUGGGAACCUCUCCAGAGCUAAUCUGGUGGUGGUGGCGGGGGCACCCUUUCGUAUGGGCAAUCGGAAAAGCGCUACCCAAAACGUAACUGUGAUUGGCACAUAGUGCCCCCCUAUCUGAUAUACCGGCCACUUCCAUGUUCCAAUGCGUUGUUCCUCUUUGGGCAAAAUUCCUACGUGUUGCAGUGUCAUGUCUAAGCCGGCCGACAGUAACACCAAGGAUAAAUGCAUCACCGAACUUGAGAAGUGUGUAACAGAGUUUAACAAAGGCACCGAUCCUUUUACCCUUCUGCCACCAUGGGGUGGGGUCCGUGCCUCUCCUUUUGACCCUGGUGAUGCGUGAUGUCUCCGACCACAGCUUACGAUGAUCAUGAGCCUGCAGGACCUCGGAAGUGCAUCUGAGAAGGUCAUGCACCCCAGUGUGGUUUGCUCAGAACGUCCGCCCUGGGGAGGCUGGAAGUCUAGCUCUGCAGGGCCUGCUGUCCUGGGGGGACACCUGCAACUGCUCCAGGCAGCAGCCCCGGCUGAGCUGGUGGCCAGCGUGCAACCCUGAGCCACCUGAACCUCCAGCCCGGUUGGCCCUCGGGGAACAGCAGCCCUGGCCAAUGUCCAGCUGCAAGGGCAUGGGGGGCCCCGUGGGAGCUCCGCACGCUGGAGCCCACCACAAAUUCCUGGCCCCCAAAGUCGCCAGAAAAAGCUGCUACAGGUGGGAAGAAUGGCUGCAUCCGUGCGGGACUCUCCUAAUCACCGGUGUCAUGAAUACAGGACCCCUACUUUCGAAAGUAUAUGCUACAUACCAGCUAAGAAGGUCCCAAUUAUUUGCCUUUGGGACUUGAAUUUCAGAAAUGAUGAUUUCUCCGUCUAGAAGAAGAACUCAAGUAUUACACCUGUGACUACUGUAUAUUGGAAAGUCGCUUUGGGAGGGGGUCUUGGAAGUUCUCAUCACACGAAAACAAAAUCUGUCAUGGUGGAUGCUGACGGAUGAUAACCGGACUUAGUUGUGGCUCUCACGUUGCAGUAUACACACGGAUCAGCUCAUUACACUGCACCUCUGAAGCCAGUACAGAGCGGAAUGUUAUAGGUCCAUUGUAUCUCAGUUUUUUUUUUAACUUUAAGAAAAUAAAUUGGGGGGAAACUCCAAUUCUCAGGAC
rnacentral:lncRNA from 9 species